GACGAACGCUGGCGGCGUGCCUAAUACAUGCAAGUAGAACGCACAGUUUAUACCGUAGCUUGCUACACCAUAAACUGUGAGUUGCGAACGGGUGAGUAACGCGUAGGUAACCUGCCUGGUAGCGGGGGAUAACUAUUGGAAACGAUAGCUAAUACCGCAUAAUAUUAAUUAUUGCAUGAUAAUUGAUUGAAAGAUGCAAUUGCAUCACUACCAGAUGGACCUGCGUUGUAUUAGCUAGUAGGUGAGGUAACGGCUCACCUAGGCGACGAUACAUAGCCGACCUGAGAGGAUGAUCGGCCACACUGGGACUGAGACACGGCCCAGACUCCUACGGGAGGCAGCAGUAGGGAAUCUUCGGCAAUGGACGAAAGUCUGACCGAGCAACGCCGCGUGAGUGAAGAAGGUUUUCGGAUCGUAAAGCUCUGUUGUAAGAGAAGAACGGGUGUGAGAGUGGAAAGUUCACACUGUGACGGUAUCUUACCAGAAAGGGACGGCUAACUACGUG
rnacentral:rRNA from 1 species